GUCCGCAAAGUGCCUCGACUGUCCAUCGCAGUUCGUUGUACCAUUAAAUCCCGAGCACUCCACGUCAGAAAUCAGUGUUGCAAAAAUGCAUCAUUUGUUCAUAACAUGACACUGUCAAGUCGCGAUCAUUUAUGUAGUUACAUCACUCCUGCUUGUUGAAAUCGUAAGCCCACGGCACCGUUCGGUAGCCUAUACAGUCUUUGACUUCGUCAGCAAAGUGCGUAAAUCACUGUACGAAUGUCAUGUAUAAAUAACACUGCAGCCCCGUGUUA